rnacentral:other from 1 species
AACUUUUACGAGGUAUCAGCACUUUUCUUUCAUUAGUGGGGAAGGAAGGAUGAGAAAUACAAAAGAGCAGUAGACUUUUAAAGUUUAAAUAGACAGGUCUGAGUGCCUGAACGUGCUCUUCCAUUUUACGUUAACCCAGAAGUAUUCUGAUCCAGUCUCACUGCUGAUCAGCAAGGGUAAGUUGAAAG